rnacentral:rRNA from 1 species
UACGGGAGGCAGCAGUGGGGAAUAUUGCACAAUGGGCGCAAGCCUGAUGCAGCCAUGCCGCGUGUAUGAAGAAGGCCUUCGGGUUGUAAAGUACUUUCAGCGGGGAGGAAGGCGAUGCGGUUAAUAACCGCGUCGAUUGACGUUACCCGCAGAAGAAGCACCGGCUAACUCCGUGCCAGCAGCCGCGGUAAUACGGAGGGUGCAAGCGUUAAUCGGAAUUACUGGGCGUAAAGCGCACGCAGGCGGUCUGUUAAGUCAGAUGUGAAAUCCCCGGGCUUAACCUGGGAACUGCAUUUUGAAACUGGCAGGCUUGAGUCUUGUAGAGGGGGUAGAAUUCCAGGUGUAGCGGUGAAAUGCGUAGAGAUCUGGAGGAAUACCGGUGGCGAAGGCGGCCCCUGGGACAAAGACUGACGCUCAGGUGCGAAAGCGUGGGGAGCAAACAGGAUUAGAUACC